UUUGAACUUGUAUUUGAGAUCCUAAGCUUCCAGUUUUAGUUAUGGAGUCAAGCCGACUUGAGAUUGAGUGCUUCAAGCAUCUCAUGAAGUUGAGUUCAAGCUCUAAAAAAACAAAGCUAAUAGAUCAAAACUAUAAGAAAGUUGGACAUUGACCAACAACAAAGAAAAUAAAUCUUAAAAAUUAAAGUCAACAGAUUAGCACCCCCAACCAAUCAAAAAAAACAAAGAAAAUAACAAUAUACAGACAAACAAUUUUAAAUAGUUAAUAAGCACUCCUUAAUCAAUCCAACGAACAAUUCUAAGACAUCAAACCCAUCACCAUCUCCUAUAUUCACCAAAUAAAACAAUUGCAACAUGAAAAGUUCACCAAUAAUAAAUACUAAUCUG
rnacentral:misc_RNA from 1 species